GAAUCAUCGAGUCUUUGAACGCAUAUUGCGGCUCCGGGUCACUCCCGGAGCCACGCCUGUCUGAGGGUCGGCGAACGUACUCGCAAGACAGUUUGCCACACGCUUACUACCUUGCGCCUUGGUGGUCGUGGGCUUCGCCAAUGAAGCACCGCGUUCACCGUAGUGGAGAACGGGUUUUCGCAUUGCCUCUUGGCGGGCGCUGUCGCCUCAUCGGGAAGGCAUUCCCUUUGACGUGCGAAGACGCAGCUCGUGGAACGCGAGUUUGCGCACCUCGCGCAUCGUGAGUCUUGCGCUUCGUGGUCAAACUACGGGGAAAGCUCACCCGUUGCGGGCAUCUGGCGCCUUUUUUGCGAACCCUGCGAACGAACGAGCGGGAGAGACCGUCGCGUCUCUCUCCCUCUUCUCACACUCCGACCUCAGAUCAGACGAGA
rnacentral:rRNA from 1 species